rnacentral:rRNA from 1 species
GACGAACGCUGGCGGCGUGCCUAAUACAUGCAAGUUGAACGCUUCUUUCUUAUCGAACUUCGGUUCACCAAGAAAGAGGAGUAGCGAACGGGUGAGUAACACGUGGGUAACCUGCCCAUCAGCGGGGGAUAACACUUGGAAACAGGUGCUAAUACCGCAUAAUGCUUUUUCUCACAUGAGAGAAAGCUGAAAGGCGCUUUUGCGUCACUGAUGGAUGGACCCGCGGUGCAUUAGCUAGUUGGUAGGGUAACGGCCUACCAAGGCAACGAUGCAUAGCCGACCUGAGAGGGUGAUCGGCCACACUGGGACUGAGACACGGCCCAGACUCCUACGGGAGGCAGCAGUAGGGAAUCUUCGGCAAUGGACGAAAGUCUGACCGAGCAACGCCGCGUGAGUGAAGAAGGUUUUCGGAUCGUAAAACUCUGUUGUUAGAGAAGAACAAGGAUGAGAAGAGAAUGUUCAUCCCUUGACGGAUCUAACCAGAAAG